GAUGAACGCUAGCGGCAGGCCUAACACAUGCAAGUCGAGGGGUAUAGUUCUUCGGAACUAGAGACCGGCGCACGGGUGCGUAACGCGUAUGCAAUCUACCUUUUACAGGGGAAUAGCCCAGAGAAAUUUGGAUUAAUGCCCCAUAGUGUUAUAGAAUCGCAUGGUUUUAUAACUAAAGUUCCAACGGUAAAAGAUGAGCAUGCGUCCCAUUAGUUAGUUGGUAAGGUAACGGCUUACCAAGACAAUGAUGGGUAGGGGUCCUGAGAGGGAGAUCCCCCACACUGGUACUGAGACACGGACCAGACUCCUACGGGAGGCAGCAGUGAGGAAUAUUGGACAAUGGGCGCAAGCCCGAUCCAGCCAUGCCGCGUGCAGGAAGACGGUCCUAUGGAUUGUAAACUGCUUUUGUACAGGAAGAAACACUCCCUCGUGAGGGAGCUUGACGGUACUGUAAGAAUAAGGAUCGGCUAACUCCGUGCCAGCAGCCGCGGUAAAG
rnacentral:rRNA from 1 species